rnacentral:rRNA from 1 species
GACGUAGGGCGCGAGCGUUGUCCGGAUUUAUUGGGCGUAAAGAGCUCGUAGGCGGCUUGUCGCGUCGUCCGUGAAAACCUGCAGCUCAACUGCAGGCUUGCGGUCGAUACGGGCAGGCUAGAGUUCGGUAGGGGAGACUGGAAUUCCUGGUGUAGCGGUGAAAUGCGCAGAUAUCAGGAGGAACACCGGUGGCGAAGGCGGGUCUCUGGGCCGAUAUUGACGCUGGAGGAGCGAAAGCGUGGGGAGCGAACAGG